GUCGGAUGCUCUAACCACUGAGCUACUGGAGACUCUACGGUGUGGAUUACCAUUGGUAUCGCUUGGAUAACACAGGAUAUUGGUCCCAUAAGCCUGGAUCAACUCCUGCGACUAAUCUAGAUGGAGAUGGAAACAAGAUCACUGAUCCAAGAAAAGCUGCCAACGCUAAGCACGGUCCUGAUUACCAGUUUGUUUCUUUCAUGCAGAUCUAUACCAAUAUCACUGAAUGAUGGUUGAAGGACACUAGCUUAGUUUGAUUAACUACCAGGGAAACAUUUGCUACACAUAAAACGCUUGCACCAUAAAAAAGUUGAACCGAAAAUAGCAUUUUGAUAAACGUCUCUAAGAUAAAACAAAUCAGUGACCUUCUCUUCCUUUAAUUGAUUAAAAAAUCCAAAAAAAAAAAACGCGAAUGUUUAAUGCUCUUCAUAUAUUCAACGUGCUUUAUCGUGAAUAUUUGUCAUAGUUCCCUGCUAAGGAUUAUUUCACAUGUCAGUAGUUUUUUAGAAUUCAUAGCAUAGGCAGAAUGUCGACAUUGAUUCAUCUUGAUUAGACACAUGCACGUUCUUCAUUUUGCAAUUCAUAACGAAACAGCCAGUUAGUCUUAGUUGAUGGAGUUGUUUCCCGUCUCUUUGAGAUUUAUGAAGUGGAGCGAAGAUAAUGCUUAUAAGCUGAAAGGGAAAUCACAAUCUCCUCAUGGCUGCUACUUUGUCAGAUUUUGUUUUUUAUUCACAGUAACUCAAGUUGUUUAAGAGUAAACAAACCACGAAAAUAACGACGCUGAUUGCGAUAGAGAAUUAAAAUAAGCUCAUAAGUGACGGUUUCCAUAGUUGAAGUAAAUGAUUUGGUCAAAUAAACAGUUCUAAAUUUUCAAAAUCA